AGUGAACGCUGGCGGUAGGCCUAACACAUGCAAGUCGAACGGCAGCACAGUAAGAGUUUGCUCUUACGGGUGGCGAGGGGCGGGCGGGUGAGGUAUACAUCGGAAUCUCCUUUUUCGGGGGGUAAAACGUAGGGAAACUAGCUAAAACCCCAUAACGUCCCAAGGGCAAAAAGGGGGGCAUUUUGGCCCCUUGCCGUCUGAUGGGCCCAGAUUCGGAUUAGCUAGUUGGGGGGGUAAAGGCCCACCAAGGCGACGAUCCGUAGCUGGUUUGAGGGGAUGAUCAGCCACACUGGAACUGAGACACGGUCCAGACUCCUACGGGAGGCAGCAGUGGGGAAUAUUGGACAAUGGGCGCAAGCCUGAUGCAGCCAUGCCGCGUGGGUGAAGAAGGCCUUCGGGUUGUAAAGUCCUUUUGGUGGGGAGGAAGGGCAUAAAGUUAAUACCCCGGCUUAUUGACGGUACCCGAAGAAUAAGCACCGGCUAACUUCGUG
rnacentral:rRNA from 1 species